AUUGAACGCUGGCGGAAUGCUUUACACAUGCAAGUCGAACGGUAGAGGGGGCAACCCCUCGAGAGUGGCGAACGGGUGAGUAAUAUAUCGGAACGUGCCCAGUCGUGGGGGAUAACGUAGCGAAAGGUACGCUAAUACCGCAUACGUUCUAAGGAUGAAAGCGGGGGAUCGCAAGACCUCGCGCGAUUGGAGCGGCCGAUAUCAGAUUAGGUAGUUGGGGGGGUAAAGGCUCACCAAGCCAACGAUCUGUAGCUGGUCUGAGAGGACGACCAGCGACACUGGAACUGAGACACGGUCCAGACUCCUACGGGAGGCAGCAGUGGGGAAUUUUGGACAAUGGACGCAAGUCUGAUCCAGCCAUUCCGCGUGCAGGAUGAAGGCCCUCGGGUUGUAAACUGCUUUUGUACGGAACGAAAAGGUCUCUCUUAAUACGGGGGGCUCAUGACGGUACCGUAAGAAUAAGCACCGGCUAACUACGUGCCAGCCGCCGCAGUAA
rnacentral:rRNA from 1 species